UCCUCCCUACGGGGCGCAGCAGUGGGGAAUAUUGCACAAUGGGGGAAACCCUGAUGCAGCGACGCCGCGUGAGUGAAGAAGUAUCUCGGUACGUAAAGCUCUAUCAGCAGGGAAGAUAAUGACGGUACCUGACCAAGAAGCCCCGGCUAACUACGUGCCAGCAGCCGCGGUAAUACGUAGGGAGCAAGCGUUGUCCGGAAUUACUGGGCGUAAAGGGCGCGUAGGUGGGCGCUUAAGUCAGGUGUGAAAACUCCGGGCUCAACCUGGAGACUGCACUUGAAACUGAGUGCCUUGAGGGCAGGAGG
rnacentral:rRNA from 1 species